GACGGAGGAUGCAAGUGUUAUCCGGAAUCACUGGGCGUAAAGCGUCUGUAGGUGGUUUAAAAAGUCUACUGUUAAAAAUUGAAGCUUAACUUCAAAGAUGCCGUAGAAACUUUUAAACUCGAGGAUGGUAGGGGUAGAGGGAAUUUCCAGUGGAGCGGUGAAAUGCGUAGAUCUUGGAAAGACCACCAAUGGCGAAGGCACUCUACUGGGCCAUUACUGACACUAAGAGAGCGAAA
rnacentral:rRNA from 1 species